GAUCAUGGCUCAGAUUGAACGCUGGCGGCAGGCUUAACACAUGCAAGUCGAGCGGGGAAAGGUAGCUUGCUACCUGACCUAGCGGCGGACGGGUGAGUAAUGCUUAGGAAUCUGCCUAUUAGUGGGGGACAACAUUCCGAAAGGAAUGCUAAUACCGCAUACGCCCUACGGGGAAAGCAGGGGAUCUUCGGACCUUGCGCUAAUAGAUGAGCCUAAGUCAGAUUAGCUAGUUGGUGGGGUAAAGG
rnacentral:rRNA from 1 species